UGUGCCAGCAGCCGCGGUAAUACGAAGGGUGCAAGCGUUACUCGGAAUUACUGGGCGUAAAGCGUGCGUAGGUGGUUCGUUAAGUCUGAUGUGAAAGCCCUGGGCUCAACCUGGGAAUUGCAUUGGAAACUGGCGGGCUAGAGUACGGUAGAGGGUAGUGGAAUUCCUGGUGUAGCAGUGAAAUGCGUAGAGAUCAGGAGGACAUCCGUGGCGAAGGCGACUACCUGGACCAGUACUGACACUGAGGCACGAAAGCGUGGGGAGCAAACAGGAUUAGAU
rnacentral:rRNA from 1 species